AUUAUACAUAACCAACUUGACACCGGUUUAGCUGAAUAUUUUUAUAACCAAUACUUGACGAUUCAUCGGUGUCUGCUCCAUGUAGAAUAGCUUGUUUACAAGCCUCUUGGGGGUCUUGACUUCACCUAUCCAGAAGAUUCAAAAUAAUCUAGGCAGAGCUUUCUUUUGCCAUGGUAAACCUUAUUUUACUCUCAGAUAUGUGCUUGUUCUGAACAUACGAGAAAAAUACCAACGAACGAACGUAUACGUGCUUUGCACAAACUAGUGUAGUGUAGGUACACUGCGUGUAAAUUACAACGAAAGUUUGUUCUGUCCUUUCCUGUUAUGGAAACUCGACCAAAUUAUUGUUUCGCGAGAACCAGAGCAGCAGAUUUAUCUGCUUUCAUGCAGGAUGGGAAGGGGAAAAAAAAAAAAAAAGUCUCGAACAAGCAAUUUCCAACUCGUCAAAAGGAAAAAAGGAAAAAAG